GGAAGUAAAAUCGUAACAAGGUUUCCGUAGGUGAACCUGCGGAAGGAUCCUUAUUGUAUAACCGAGGUGCGAGGUCUGUCGCUGACCCGAAAGGUCGUGCACGCCCGAGUGCCCUCACACACAUCCAUCUCACCCCUAUGUGCACCACCGCGUGGGUCCCCCUUUGGCUUGUUCGGAGGGGGGCUUACGUUUUCACACAAACUUUGUAUGCAGUGUAGAAUGUAUUUUUUGUUUUUGCGAUCACGCAAUCAAUACAACUUUCAACAACGGAUCUCUUGGCUCUC
rnacentral:misc_RNA from 1 species